rnacentral:rRNA from 1 species
CAAGUCGAACGAUGUAGCAAUACAUAGUGGCGCACGGGUGAGUAACGCGUGGGAAUCUGCCCAUUAGUACGGAAUAACAGCGGGAAACUGCUGCUAAUACCGUAUACGCCCUUCGGGGGAAAGAUUUAUCGCUAAUGGAUGAGCCCGCGUAAGAUUAGCUAGUUGGUGGGGUAAAAGCCUACCAAGGCUACGAUCUUUAGCUGGUCUGAGAGGACGACCAGCCACACUGGAACUGAGACACGGUCCAGACUCCUACGGGAGGCAGCAGUAGGGAAUAUUGGACAAUGGGCGAAAGCCUGAUCCAGCCAUGCCGCGUGAGUGAUGAAGGCCUUAGGGUUGUAAAGCUCUUUUGUCAGGGAAGAUAAUGACGGUACCUGAAGAAUAAGUUCCGGCUAACUUCGUGCCAGCAGCCGCGGUAAUACGAAGGGAACUAGCGUUGUUCGGAAUCACUGGGCGUAAAGCGGGCGCAGGCGGACUAUCAAGUCAGAGGUGAAAUCCCAAGGCUUAACCUUGGAAUUGCCUUUGAAACUGAUAGUCUGGAGUGUGUGAGGGGGUAGCGGAAUUCCGAAUGUAGAGGUGAAAUUCGUAGAUAUUCGGAGGAACACCGGUGGCGAAGGCGGCUACCUGGCACACAACUGACGCUGAGGCCCGAAAGCGUGGGGAUCAAACAGGAUUAGAUACCCUGGUAGUCCACGCCCUAAACGAUGAGUGCUAGCUGUUGGUCCUUGUGAUCAGUGGCGUCGCUAACGCAUUAAGCACUCCGCCUGGGGAGUACGGUCGCAAGAUUAAAACUCAAAGGAAUUGACGGGGACCCGCACAAGCGGUGGAGCAUGUGGUUUAAUUCGAGGCACCGCGAAAAACCUUACCAGGCCUUGACAUGGUUAGUAUGAACUCCAGAAAAGGAGUUCUUCAGUUC